GAUGAACGCUGGCGGCGUGCCUAAUACAUGCAAGUCGAGCGAACAGACGAGGAGCUUGCUCCUUUGACGUUAGCGGCGGACGGGUGAGUAACACGUGGGUAACCUACCUAUAAGACUGGGAUAACUUCGGGAAACCGGAGCUAAUACCGGAUAAUAUUUCGAACCGCAUGGUUCGAUAGUGAAAGAUGGCUUUGCUAUCACUUAUAGAUGGACCUGCGCCGUAUUAGCUAGUUGCUAAGGUAACGGCUUACCAAGGCAACGAUACGUAGCCGACCUGAGAGGGUGAUCGGCCACACUGGAACUGAGACACGGUCCAGACUCCUACGGGAGGCAGCAGUAGGGAAUCUUCCGCAAUGGGCGAAAGCCUGACGGAGCAACGCCGCGUGAGUGAUGAAGGUCUUCGGAUCGUAAAACUCUGUUAUUAGGGAAGAACAAACGUGUAAGUAACUGUGCACGUCUUGACGGUACCUAAUCAGAAAGCCACGGCUAACUACGUG
rnacentral:rRNA from 1 species